AAAUUUCAAUCUAGCACAGAAUAUAUUUCCACACUCACAUGAACAAAUAAUUAUAUCUAAAUAGACAUACAAACAUCAAAUAAACAUUUAUACUUACACUCUUUUAGUGAACAAGUACUUUUACAAUCCUGGGAUUUUGAGCAGACAGGAACAGAUGUGGAGGCCUCCCUUUUUCACAUCUCAGGACAGGACUUUUGACCUAUGUCUCAUCUGGAUGGAAACGGUACUAAUAUUGAACAAGGAAAUCAAGACUAAAUAGACAUAAUAACUAGAUACAUUCUCCAUUAAGAACUUUGAGGUGCAUGCCACAUUUAUACCACAAAAUACCAACAAAUCAGUUUCAGUUGUGUAAAAGACUGUCUUUUUUUUUAUUAUUAUUAGGUUUCAAGCGGCUCUGGAAAACCACAUUCGAACCUUGCAAGGCAGGUUUUUGGCCUACCUGGUCUUUUCAGAUGUAAAUUGACCACAUUCUUUAAGAUUUUGCUGUACGCAGGAGGCGACUAUCUCCUUCUUCCAUCAAGAAAAGCUUUCUUAAUUAACAAAGGACCAGUUUUUUGUUUUUGUUUUUUUUCCUUUGGAAAAACUGUUCUUUAUUUUGGAUUAGGCUUGGGAUUUAUCCUGCACAUUUGAAAGGAGACGCUAGCCCAAAACCCUAUCCAAAAUCGGACAGUGCGCAUAUUAGUUUUAAGCCAGCUUUUCUCCUUACACGUGCACAGAAAUCCCAGACGCAUUUACUUGGGGAGGGGGUGACCUGUUUCCACAGACCCUCACUCAGGUAGCCACCCAACCGCCACACAAAGGAGCGGGGAGAGCAGUCCCCCUCCCUCUACACUUGCACACUUUCAUCAGACAUUCAUUCAGAGUUUAAACAAUCCAUUCAAUUCCUAACAACUUCGCCAUUCCUGGGGGAGCUCUAAAGCCUCCCCCAAUCUCCUUGAAAUGAUUAAUCACAAUACCCAAAGGAGCAGUAUGAGUCCACCAUAACGUCCAUCCAGCAAGUCCACAAAAUAAAACGGAAACACAAACAACUAAAGGGCCCAAAGAAGUACAGCCUUCCAACUCCACGGAAGCAAAAAAA